CCGACAGGAAGGUGAAGAAGUCAUCUGCGUGCUGUGAGGGUGGCGCACCCCAACUCCAUGGGGACAGAAGGUCCUGCAUUUAGGACCCUUCCAGACCUCACACCUAUGUAUCUCUUCAUCUGGCUGAUUACUUAUAUCCUUUCAAAGACGCUUCUUAGUAAACUGGGCCUCCCUCACAUGGCCAGCGGAGAAGGGCCUUGCCCUACCUCUCAGACUGCAGCCCUGAGCCACUCCUUGGAGGUGAGGAGCACCAUUCACCUGAGCAGCUCCCCGCCCUGGUGUCUGAGAAAUAAAUCUGCCUUCAGUCAUACGGUUCUACCAAUCUGAGCACACGUACCACCUGAUAGGGUACUGAGGAUGGCUUCUGACCUGGAGGCAUCAAGGACCUGAAGGCAGUAACCAUUUCAGAGGACAGCCACAUCCCUCAAAUUACAAACAUCUAAAAUGUCCAUUAACUGUUGAGUGGAUAUAUAAAUUCUGAUGUUUUAUAAAAUGGCAUACCCUACAUCAAUGAAGAUGAAUGAAUUACUUCUGCAUAAAACAAUAUACAUGCAUCUAACCAAUAUGACACUGAGUGAAAAAAGACAUCCAUAGAAGAGCACAGCUCACCAUUCA
rnacentral:lncRNA from 1 species